rnacentral:rRNA from 1 species
UACGUAGGGGGCAAGCGUUGUCCGGAUUUAUUGGGCGUAAAGAGCGUGUAGGCGGUUAGGUAGGUCCGUUGUGAAAACUCGAGGCUCAACCUCGAGACGCCGAUGGAAACCAUCUGACUAGAGUCCGGAAGAGGAGAGUGGAAUUCCUGGUGUAGCGGUGAAAUGCGCAGAUAUCAGGAGGAACACCGGUGGCGAAGGCGGGUCUCUGGGCAGUAACUGACGUUGAGGAGCGAAAGCGUGGGGAGCGAACAGG